CUGCUUGUGAUGGGAUGGCAGUGUAUUGUUAGCUGGUUGACUAUCUGAACGUGCCAGCUAACAUGCAACUGCUAUCCCAUUGCAUUUCCC
rnacentral:pre_miRNA from 15 species